rnacentral:pre_miRNA from 1 species
AAAGUACUCCAUCCGUCCCAAAAUUCUUCUCUUAGAUUUGUCUAGAUACGGAUGUAUCAAGUCACAUUUUAGUAUUAGAUACAUCCAUAUCUAGACAAAUCUAAGACAAAAAAUUUGGGACAGAGGGAGUAGUUG